rnacentral:rRNA from 1 species
AUUGAACGCUGGCGGCAUGCCUUACACAUGCAAGUCGAACGGCAGCACGGGAGCAAUCCUGGUGGCGAGUGGCGAACGGGUGAGUAAUAUAUCGGAACGUGCCCAGUAGUGGGGGAUAGCCCGGCGAAAGCCGGAUUAAUACCGCAUGAGACCUGAGGGUGGAAAGCGGGGGAGUCGCAAGACCUCGCGCUAUUGGAGCGGCCGAUAUCAGAUUAGCUAGUUGGUGGGGUAAAGGGCCUACCAAGGCAACGAUCUGUAGUUGGUCUGAGAGGACGACCAGCCACACUGGGACUGAGACACGGCCCAGACUCCUACGGGAGGCAGCAGUGGGGAAUUUUGGACAAUGGGCGCAAGCCUGAUCCAGCAAUGCCGCGUGCAGGAAGAAGGCCUCGGUUGGUUAAACGUAGCUUUGUUCAGGGAAGG